AUUACCGCGGCUGCUGGCACGUAGUUAGCCGGUGCUUCUUCUGCAGGUACCGUCACUUGCGCUUCGUCCCUACUGAAAGGGGUUUACAAUCCGAAGACCGUCAUCCCCCACGCGGCGUCGCUGCAUCAGGCUUUCGCCCAUUGUGCAAUAUUCCCCACUGCUGCCUCCCGUAGG
rnacentral:rRNA from 1 species